rnacentral:rRNA from 1 species
GACGAACGCUGGCGGCGUGCUUAACACAUGCAAGUCACGGGGGCCAGCAAUGGCAACCGGCGAACGGGUGCGUAACACGUGAGCAAUCUGCCGAUGUCUGGGGGAUAGCCGGCCCAACGGCCGGGUAAUACCGCAUACGCUUGCUUUGAGGAGUAUCGAGGCAAGGAAACCUCCGGGGGACAUCGAGGAGCUCGCGGCCUAUCAGCUAGUUGGCGGGGUAAUGGCCCACCAAGGCGAUGACGGGUAGCUGGUCUGAGAGGAUGGCCAGCCACGUUGGGACUGAGAAACGGCCCAGACUCCUACGGGAGGCAGCAGUGGGGAAUCUUGCGCAAUGGCCGAAAGGCUGACGCAGCGACGCCGCGUGUGGGAGGAAGCCCUUCGGGGUGUAAACCACUGUUGCCCGGGACGAACAUCCUCUUUCGAGAGGACUGACGGUACCGGGUGAGGAAGCACCGGCUAACUCCGUGCCAGCCGCCGCAGUAA